rnacentral:hammerhead_ribozyme from 1 species
AUCCAACUGAAGAGUUCCAAAUAGGACGAAAGUCGCGUCCUGGAU